CAGUUAGGCAUUCAAGGAAGAAAGAAGGAAAAGAUGACAUCUAUAUCAAGGAAAGGAAUUAUCUUCUAGAAAUCUCUAGCAGACUUUUGCUCACAUCUGAUUGCCUAGUAUUGUGUCACACGGCUGUGUUUUGCUGCAAAGAAGGCCAGGAAAAGGGCACCCAAGCACAACUGGGUUCUGUGGGUAAGGAAGAGAGGGGAGGGUAGAUACCAGCGCCCAGUCAGCAGUGUCUGUUGCAGGGCCCUGUGCCCCCCCAGCCCCCGCCCUGCACUUGACCCUCUAGACUCUCCUCACAUUUCCCAACUCGGAGGUUCUUCCCCAGUCAGGAAGUGGGAGGUGGAGUGGGGGAGGGUCCAGGAAAAACUGUUUUCAGCUAUUUGCACAUCUUUUCCAAUCCUUUCUGUUUUACACUGCAGUGCAGCUUGUGGUCUUAAAACAAAAAAAUGUGGUGUGUUCUCUUUAGUACUUCUGCUAAAAAUCUCUAAAGUAAUGGGUCCCUGUCUAUCUAGCUGGGGGCAGGGAACAACAAACACAGGAUCUUAGAAAGCAAAGCAAUUAAUAUUUUAUGUAUCAUCCUGCUCCAUAUGCGUAGGAAAAAGAAUGAUGUACAUCUGGAUGAUGAGAAAAUCCUGGGAAUUUUUUUUCAUUUCUUUUUGUUUAUAUUUCUAAGCUCCAUACUAUAAAGCACUGUAGUUUACUUACAGGAUUAAAAAUUUUUGAUCCAUAUAUUCCAGCAAAUCGAGGUUUUUAAAAUAUCAAAUCAUCCCAGGAUAUAACUUCAGUUAGUGUAACGCAAUAGCACCUAGUAAAAUGUUAGUUUACAUUGCCAAUGGGCUAUUUAGGGAGUAUAUUUAAAAGGGUAGAGUUAUAACCCAUUUGAACUUUGAUAACUUUUGUCAGAGGCUAAUGAGGUCGCUGGAGGAAGAGUAAAUCCUGGAAUGGUUCAGAGGCAGCUCCUGUUUUAGGUUAGGUUAGGUUGGUGGAUUUUAACUCCUGAGUCACUCCUCAGUCGGAAGAAUCCUAGGUGCCUGGCCUGGAGUGCCUAGGCUAGAGUUUAGAUCCUACUGCAGAUUACAAGUCUGUUUCAGGCACACGUAGUCCCUGAGGGAAGGGAGAUGGGGGUGCUGUUUUUCUUGGCAGCCGCAUGGUAGUUGCUUCAGCCCAGGGCGUGUUCUUGCCGCCAGGCCGACGUGCCUGUCCAGCAGCAAGUGUAACAGAGGGCUUGCAUUCCUGGACGACUGAGCAUAGAGGAAAAUGAAGAUUCCCUUGGAAGUGCCAGUCUCCUUGGAGAGAAAUGAGAUUAUUAGGAGAGGUCUGGGAAAGGAGAGUGUGUGCUUUUGAUUUGGUGUUUUAAACCAAGUUGUAAAACUUGGAAAGCCUAAACAAAGGGAGAGUCAGAGGAGGCUGCUAGAUUGUUGAAGUCAGUACAGUACCAGGAUUUAAGGCAUGGAAGUCAUCGAGGAGGGACCCUUUUAGAGAGGAAAAACAGAUGAUGUGUUUUUCUUAUGUAACCUGUUGAUUCAAUAUACAUAUAUAUUUUUUCUAAGAUCUUAGGAACUGUGUAUCAAAACAAAACUUAAAUAAGCGUUUUUAUUUCCAAAGGUUUAUGUUCAUAGAAUUUUUUUUUUUUUUUUUUUUUUUUUGCUUUUUAGGGCUGCACCCAGGGCAUAUGGAAGUUCCCAGGCUAGAGACCGAAUCAAAGCUGUAGCUGCUGGCCUGCUGCCCACCUAACACCACAGCUACAGCAACGCGGGAUCUGAGCUCCAUUUUCCACACCAUAGUUCAUAGCAACGCUGGAUCCUUAACCCACUGAGCCAGGCCAGGGAUCAGAUCUGCAUCCUCAUGGAUGCUAAUCGGAUUCUUUCCUCCUGUGCCACAAUGAGAACUUCCAUGAUUUUUUUUUUUUAAUUUUUAUUUUUUCCAUUAUAGUUGGUUUACAGUGUUCUGUCAAUUUUCUACUAUACAGCAAAGUAACCCAGUCACACACACACACAUUCUUUUUCUCACAUUAUCCUCCAUCAUGUUCCAUCACAAGUGACUAGAUAGAGUUCCCUGUGCUAUACUUCCAUGGAUUGUUUUUUAAGUUUCAAUAAUGAGCAGGAUGGAAACAUUUUCAUUAUCAUAAAAAUCAGUUGCAAGAAAUUACAUUACAGUUAUUUCCUUGCAAUUUGCUAAUAUUUUUCCCACCUCAAAUUCUUGAAAAUGUGAAAACAAUCUAUUUUUUUUUUUUUGUCUUUUUUUCGGCGGGGGGCAUACCCGAGGCAUAUAGAGAUUCCCAGGCUAGGGGUUGAAUUGGAGCUGCAGUCUCUGGCCUACACCACAGCCACCUCGAUGCAGGAUCGAGUCACAUCUGCGACCUACACCACAGCUCAUGGCAAUGCUGGAUCCUUAACCCACUGAGCAAGGCCAGAGAUUGAACCUGUGUCCUCAAGGAUACCAGUCAGGUUCAUUUCUGCUGAGCCACCAGGGGAACUCCACAAUCCAAUUUUUAUUUUCUCAAUCAAAAAAGUGUUCUGAAUAAGUCUGCUGAAUGUAUGGAGCUCUCAAGUUUUGAUAGUAUAAUAUAAAAUGAUCUAAGAGUAAAACAAUUCAGUCAUCUUCACACUCAUGCACUGGAGUGUGUGGCAUUAUGGAAACAGAAAUUAGUGAGACAACUGCCUAGCUCCAUUGUUUACAGUGUAGGUCCUUAAAAGGAAAAUUUCAUUGAGGUUCCAUGUACUGUUAACUGCCAAACAUACUGUCUUUUUCCAUUGUGUUGUGGCAGUGGGAUCACAUAUUUUAGGGGGAUCUGGUGCUGCCUUGAGCUGUGGUGUAGGUGGCAGAUGGGACGCAGAUCCUUCGUUGCUGUGGCCGUGGCAUAGGCCAGCAGCUGUAGCUCCGAUUUGACCUCUAGCCUGGGAACCUUCGUAUGCUGCUUGCUGGCGCAGCCCUAAAAGGACAAAAAAAAUUUUUUUUCAUUGAGGUAUAGUUAACGUAUAUUGACAUUAUAUUAUUUUCAGCUAUACAGCACUGUGAUUUGAUAUUUGUAUAUAUUGUGAAAGAAUCACCACAAUAAAUCUGGUUAACAUCUGGUACCAUAGGUAGUUUAAAAAAUUGUUUUUUCUUGUGAUGACUCUUUUAGGAUCUCCUCUCUUUAACAGCUUUCAAAUAUGCGGUACAGUUUUGUUAGCCACCGUCACCAGGCUGUGCAUCACAUCCCCAAGACUUCAUCCUUUCAUCACUGGGAGCAUGUGGCUUCUGACCCCUUCCACCCAUUUCUUCCACCCUCCACCCACCUGAUUCUGGCAACCACCGAUCUGUUUUCUGUAUCUACCAGCUUGCUUAUUUCUCGCUAUUGUUUUUUAGAUUCCACCUGCAUGAGAGAUCAUACAGUAUUUGUCUUUCUCUGUCUCACUUAUUUCACUUAGCACAAUGCCCUCGAGGACCGUCUCUGUUAUUGUAAAUGGCAGGAAUUGCUUCUUCUUCUUCUUCCCUUUUUUGUCUUUUUAGGGCUGCACCUGUGGCAUAUGGAGGUUCCCAGGCUAGGAACUGAAUCAAAGCUGCAGGUGCCAGCCUACUCCAUGGCCACAGCAAUACCAGAUACGAACCGCAUCUGAGACCUUCACCACAGCUCACGGCAAUGCCGGAUCCUUAACCCACUGAGCGAGGCCAGGGGUUGAAACUGCAUCCUUAUGGGUACUAAUCGUGUUCAUUAACCACUGAGCCAUGACGGGAACUCCGUUCCUUCUUUUUUAUGGCUGAAUGAUAUUUCAUUGUACAUAUAUGCACACCAUAUCUUUUUUAAAAAUUGAAGUAUAGAAAUUCCUUGGCUUAGCAGGUUAAGGAUCUCGUGUUGUCACUGCCAUGGCUUGGGUUGCAGCUGUGGUGUGGGUUUGAUCCCUGGCCUGGGAAUUUCUGUAUGUCACCGGCACAGCCAAAAAAAAAAAAAAAAAAAAGAAGUUUAGUUGAUUCAGUGGAGUGAAUCAUGUUUUAGCUCUUCUAAGAGAGGCUGUACAAAACAUGACUCUAAGAGAGUAGCUCUACAUCCACCCUUUUAAAACCAGUAGGUUUAUAACCACUGUGGGGCAGGGAUGAGAGACUAUAGGAAAUCAUCUUUAUGGGUCUGUGCAUGUUCUAGUGUGUGGUGCCUGCUAGUUAGCCCUUGUGUAUUGGUUCGUACCUUUUUGGUGUUAAGUACUAGGAAGCAGAACUCAAACUUACCUGUGUAUGAGUUUAUUGGCUUAUAUCACUGCAAAGUUGAGUGGUAGAAUGGCCUUCAGGGUUAGUUUGAUUUAGGAGCUCAAUGAUGUCAUCCAGGACUUAGUUCAUUUUUCAAGUUCACCUUUCAAAGUGCCAACUUUAUCCAAAGUCUUCCUGCCCUCAUGGGUGCAAGACAGCUGUCAAUAGCUCCUGGGUCAGAAUACUUCUUCUAUGUCAGAGAACGACAAACUGUCUUCUCCAAAAAGAAAAAAAAAAAAAGAUGCGGGGCUUUACUCUGAUUAAUCCAGUUUAGGUCAUGUGCUUAGCAGUUGCUAUGACCAGAUAAAUACCACAUGAUGAUAGAUCACUGAGGUAAAAGGUGAUUGGCUCAGGCUGUUUAGGUUUGGAGAGAAAGUGUAUCAAUUCCACGUAUGAUGAAGCAAAGAGGAGGGGCAAUUCCCCAAAGUGAACUCUGACUCUUAGAACAGGAAGAAAAUGGGGGAAUUUUAGGUAAUCAACUCAGCCAUUGCCCAAUAUACUUUGGUCCUUUAUUCUCUGCUAGCCACGAUUUCCUAGCUCCUCUCCUUGCAACUGGAAAUUAUUAUAAUCAUUAUUAUUAUUAUUUUUUCUUUUUACGGCCGCACCUGUGGCAUAUGGAGGUUCCCAGGCUAGGGGUCGAAUUGGAACUGUAGCUGCUGGCCUACACCACAGCCACAGCAACUCGGGAUCUGAGCCCUGUCUGCGACCUACACCACAGCUCAUGGCAACGCCGGAUCCUUAACCCACUGAGCGAGGCCAGAGAUUGAACCCCUAUCCUCAUGGAUGCUAGUUAGGUUCGUUAACCAUUGAGCCACAACAGAAACUCCCUGCAACUGGAAAUUGUUGAACUUGAUUUAUAACCCCAUGCUCUGUCCCAUUCCCUACCAGUUCUUUUCAUUCUGUUCCUACACAAAGUCUGUUCUUAGAAGGAUGGUUUUAUGGAAAGGUGGAUCCUGGAACUCAUUCUUCCUCACCCUAAGCAAUAAGGUCAUGGUAAAAAGCUCCUUCUACAGUGCUGGGAACAAGGACCAGAGGAGCAAUAACAUUUGAAGGUCAGAGCCUCCUGGAAACAUGGCAUUGUCAGGAGAAAGCCAGCCCUGGCCGAGGAAGUCAUCCGGUCGGCAUGGCUCCAGCUCAGCAACGACAAGGCACACAGUGAAAGCAGGAUGGUAGGACUCGUGACCCUGGGCGUUCAGUCAAAGGUACAGUUUCUUGGAUGGUGGGAGGCUUGGGACUUCUAGUUCUCAUGUGUAUCUUGAUCAGGGAUGUGAUGUGCUGCCUACAAAGGACUCACUGGUCCUAUAGCUGAGAGCACGGGGGGAACCAAGGUCAGGACAGAGGAAUUCAAGACCUUGAAGGCAAGGGAGUAAAAGAAUCGAGAUUUUCCCAUCUAGCUGAGAAGAGUAUCUCCAACUGAGUGCAGUGAACUUCAGUCAUUCGUGAACUCUUUAGUGAGUCUGACUCCAUGCUAGGGACUGUGCUGGCCCUUGAGACACAAUGAUGACCUUGUGAGCUUUUCUGCUUUCAUGGAGAGUACAAUGGUGGGAGCAUGCAUUGGUCAAGUUUCUUUUGGUUUUAAGGAGCAGAAGUGACGCUGGAAGCUUGCUCGAAGAAUCUUGCAGGUUCUUUGAGAAUUCACAGAAGGAGCUGAGAUUAAGGCACCUUGGGGUACCUUAUUAGCUAGAGGUUACCAGUCUUCUCUGGGACUGCUAUUGUUAGUGCCAAGGGGUUUCUGUGUCCAGUCUCUGUGUGCGUCAGUUUCACAUUCCUAGAGGGAGAAUCUGAUUAGUCCAACUCAGGUGAAUCAGCUAUGGUUCAGGGCCCAAGGUGAUGAAAUAUAGACAUGGUUGUUGGAGUCCUGCCCUGUCUGCUGAGUGCAGUUUCCAGAGAAGGGCCGAAUGCUGUGAACCCGAAGGCCACUCUGUGGGCGGGGAGGUAGAUAAGCAACGGCAGUUACAGCCCAGCGUGGCCAGUGCUGUGCUAGGGGAAGCAUGAACUGAUGUGUGUGGGGGGUGUCAAUCAAGAUUCUUUUGGAGGCAAGGGUUUGAAACCCAACUUAAAAUGAACUUAUACAAAAAGGGGAACUUGUUGGAAGUUUCACAUUGAGAAGCCUGAGUGGCAGGUGUGGUAUCAGGGGCCACUGGAACUAGGGUUUAGAUUCCUACCAGAUAUUUUUUUCUUAGUCUCUCAGCCUUACUUCUCUCUGUGUUGUCAACUUCUUCCUCUUGGGAAAGUUUUCUUUACACAGCAUGAAAUAUGGCCACUGGCAGCUCCUGAGUCCCAUAUCUCUUGGCCUCACCACCAGGGAAUAAAUCUUUUUUUUUUUUUUUUUUUNNNNNNNNNNNNNNNNNNNNNNNNNNNNNNNNNNNNNNNNNNNNNNNNNNNNNNNNNNNNNNNAGCUGCCAGCCUACGCCAGAGCCAUAGCAACGCGGGAUCCGAGCCGCGUCUGCAACCUACACCACAGCUCACAGCAACGCCGGAUCGUUAACCAACUGGGCAAGGGCAGGGACCGAACCCGCAACCUCCUGGUUCCUAGUCGGAUUCGUUAACCACUGCGCCACCAUGGGAACUGGAAUAAAUCUUUUUGUUCAGCUUUAGUUACAAUAAUCCUAAGGAAUGAACUUGAUUCACUUGUAUGAGUCCAUCCCUUUAACUGUGUCUAGAGAGACAGAAAGGUGUAAAAACAUAUUUCACAUUAGAGUUUCAUAUUUGGUUAAAUGACAAACUAAAAUGAUUAAUACCAAAUGCUUUAGGUUAAUAUAGUUAUCUAUCCCUGCGUAACUGGUUACCUUCAAAAUUAGUGACUUAAAAUGACAAUAAAUAUUUAUGAUCUCACAUAGUCUCUGGUGGUUUGAAAUUCAGUGCUGGCUUAGCUGGGUAGUUCUGGCUCAGGGUUCCUUCUGAGGAUCAGUCAGGAUGUCUGCUGGAGGAGUUCCCAUUGUGGCUCAGUGCGUUAAGAACCCAACGUAGUAUCCAUGAGGAUGUGGGUUCGAUCCCUGGCCUCACCCAAUGGGUUAAGGAUCCAGCAUUGCUGCAAGCUAUGGUGUAGGUUGCAGAUGUGGCUCAGAUCCUGUGUUGCUGUGGUGUAGGCCAGCAGCUGCAGCUCUGAUUUGACUCCGAGUCAGGAAACUUCCAUAUGCUGCUGGUGUGGCCCUAAAAGGAGAAAAAAAAAAAAAAAAAAAAAGAUUUCAACUGGGGCUGAAGUCAUCUGAAGGCUUUCCUAGAAGAUUCACUUCCAAGACAGUUCACUCACAUGUGCUCAGUUCCUUUCCUCGUGGGCUUGUCCACGGGCAGCUUGAGCGUCCUCAUGACAUGGUGGUUGGCUUUUCCCAGGGUGAGCAAUCAGGAGAGGACAAGGUGAAAUCCAUAUCUAAUGGGCUAGCCCCAAAGUCACACUCUACCAUUUUCCACAUAUUGCUCAGCUCUAUUGAAUGUGGGAAGGGACUAGACAAAGGUGGGAUUCCUAAGAGCUAAGAAUCAGCGGGCCAUCUUGGAGCUGUCUUAGGCUACCACGGUCCUCAAAACACAUCCUGAAGACUUGGGAUAUUAAAAGUUGUAACAUGAAGAAAAGGAUUUGCAGGAGUUCCUUGGUGGCUCGGUGGGUUAAGGAUCUGACAUUGUUACUGCUGUGGCUUGGGUCACAGCUGUGGUUCAAGGUUGAUCCCUAGCCUGGGAACUUCCACAUGCCAUGGGCAUGGCAAAAAAAAAAAAAAAAAAAAAAAAAAAAAAA
rnacentral:lncRNA from 1 species